rnacentral:lncRNA from 1 species
AUAACAUUUGUAGAAACUGAAAAUCAUAAUUUUGUCAAUUACUACACUAGUAAACAUCUUUCCCUUGCAUUCAUUGAGCCCAACAUAGCGCUGAAGUACUGAUGGAAACUGUUUUAUAUUAUAAAAUAAAGCACUAUUUAUUAACUAGCUCCAAAUAAAAGAGUAAGCCACUAAAAGUAGGAUAUUUAUAUCUAUAUUUACCUACACUGAUACGAAGAGAAUCUUUCACAAAACUAUUCAAUACCACCACCAAAACCAAACAAACUUUCUCUUGACUUUCUUGUUUCACAUUCACUCACUCCCUGCCAAAAGGGAUUUUUCUUUGGAAUUAUUUUACUGACAUUUACAGUUAUUUUCACUCAAAUAUAAAAGUACAUAGGUCAGAUAUGGGUUGGAUUCAACCUUCAUACACAAAAUUCACACAGCAAAACAUUUCCACACUCCUCCCACAUCAUUCAAGGGCAAUCUUUCUCACCCACAGUAACAACACAUACCCACAAAAGGAGUUCUAUAUCUGAAGACGAUGAUUAAGGAAAAUUGAAUUAAAUGAUUCAAUUACUUGAAAACACGUUCCAUUAAUUUUCAGCUUUGAAUGCUUCCUAGGAUAUGGCCUAGAUACUUUUGGAGAAAUAUCUGCAAAAGUAAUCUUAAAACCUUUUAUGCACUAUGUUCCCCUCAUAUCAAGA